CGAUCUCGCAGUGUUCGAACCAGGCGGGCAGCAUUCCGAGCUCCUGGGGUGAACGAGGCGAGAGGUCCUGCCAGGCGAGACGUCCGUGGCAAGGUGCGGAGGAUCGCGGAAUCAAGCGUGG